rnacentral:rRNA from 1 species
UACGUAGGUGGCAAGCGUUGUUCGGAAUUACUGGGCGUAAAGGGCUCGUAGGUGGCCAACUAAGUCAGACGUGAAAUCCCUCGGCUUAACCGGGGAACUGCGUCUGAUACUGGACGGCUUGAGUUUGGGAGAGGGACGCGGAAUUCCAGGUGUAGCGGUGAAAUGCGUAGAUAUCUGGAGGAACACCGGUGGCGAAGGCAGGUCUCUGGGCUGACACUGACGCUCAUGCACGAAAGCGUGGGGAGCAAACAGG